GAAUCUUUAUUUCACAAACAUAUAGGUCUUUUUAAGUGAGAAUACUGCAUUAGAUUUAUCAGAUCUUUACUUAAGCAUGAUAUCGAUUUAAGAAAUGUUAGAGCAAUUUACGCGCUGGCGCUAAUGGUUAGUGAAUGGUGACUCUAAUUGCUUUAACAAAAUGUAAUAUAGGUCUGAUGAAUAAUUUUUAUAAUUUGAGUAGUAGAAUACAGUAAAACACUUUCUUUCUGUCAUUAAAUUUUUUUAUCACAAUUGUAGUAGGCAGCAAUGGAGCUGAAAGAUGGUAACUUCAUGGUGGAGUUGUUCUUGUUAUUGGAGUACUAUGGGCAUAGGGUAAGCAACAUUUCAAGCCCUAUCCAUUAUUCAUUUUCUCUAUCUUAUGAAAUUUGUGAGUUCUUUCAUUUUAUUUAUAAUGUUCAUUGACUUUUGAUUCUUCUUCUUUACUGAUGCAUUAGACAUGUCAUCGUUGAAGAAUUUUUAAGCUUCGGUGUAGUGAUUUAUACACGUUCAUGAAAUAAAAAAUAUUCUGAUGAAUGUUUUGGAGAAACUGGCAAAAGAAGGGGUG
rnacentral:lncRNA from 1 species